GGGAAGGUGGCUCAGUGGUAGAGCACUUGCCUUGCAUGCUUUAGGCCCUGGGUUCGAUUCCUUAGCACCCA
rfam:Dipodomys ordii contig_36403, whole genome shotgun sequence.